GCUAGGUAGCUCAGUUGGUAGAGCAGCGGACUGAAAAUCCGCGUGUCGCCGGUUCGAUCCCGGCCUUGGCC
rnacentral:tRNA from 1 species